rnacentral:pre_miRNA from 1 species
GAAAACCUAAAAAGUAUUGUUUGAUCUAAAAAUAGACACAUGGGAUUUGUCCACGUUACCUAGAGUAAAAAUUUUACUCCCAGAUUCAACUAUGAGUACAAAUUUUAUUGAGUAAAAUUUUUACUCCUGAUAACGUAGACAAAUCGCAUACAUUCAUUUAUGGAUCCAACAAUAGUUUUCAUAUUUUC